rnacentral:ribozyme from 2 species
GGUGUAAAGUAGCCACCGUUUCGGUGCAGGUUGCAAGCCCUGGUAAAUACUGAGCGAGCC